AUCUUUGUUCUUGGGCCAAUGGCACAGUCAGUGAUUAGGUUAUACAGAGGUGUGAUAAUUGCUAGUUGGAAACUAUUUCUAAUACACCUGUAGGCCUUGGCUUUUUCUGGCCUUCGAGAAUUUCUGAAAGGGUCAGUUAGUGAAUUAAUAUCC